UUGGCAACUUUUCAUCCGUCUUCUUAUUUCCCUUACUUAUGUAUUACUCAUCUUUGGAACUCAUCUCGGUUGUUGUGUGUUGUGCAUUCUAGGAUUUUUCUCUGUAUGAUGAAGAAAUCAUAGACUAUGGAUGCAUUAUUUGAAAGAUGCACUAUUUGAAAAAAAGGCAGUCCAAAUCAUCUUGAGUCCAACAGUAGUAGCCAGGUCAUAUGGCAAGACAACAUCGAUCCUGAUAAUAUGACUUAUGAGGGUUUUAACCUCUAUUAAAGGAGUUACCAGCGGUUUGUUUUUUCCUAGAAGUACUAGCAUCGUUAAUGGAUUACCGACGGUUUUGAUUAAUCCUUGGUAAAGCAACACUUACCGACGGUUUCGAAAUCCUUGGUAUUUACCGACGGUUUUGACACCCCAAGUAUUCACCGACGGUUUUAAACCCCUGGUAUUUACUAGAUAUUUUUAAACCUUUGGUAAUUAUCAGUGGUUUUGAAACACCUGGUAAUUACCAGCGGUUUUGAAACCCCUGGUAUCUAUCUACGGUUUUGGAACACAUGGUAUUUCCUCCUUGUAUGCAGUUUUAAAUCCUUUUAUACUAUAUAAUAGUACUGAAAGUCCUUUUUUACCCCUGUAAUGCAAUUUAUUAUUUAUUGAUGUUUUUACUUUUCAA